ACACUUCCGGUUUGUGAACUCGACACAUUCGGAGACUCCGCGCUGUGCGGUACAAGACGUGACUUGUACAAAGACCCGAGACAACUUCCCGAGAAAAACACAUACACCGUUUACUUCUUAGGUUGGAUUGGACCGUCGGAGGGACUCCUGUUGUCCUUAAGGCUGCAGCGUCAGGCAGGUGUUGACAGUCGCCCUUAAGACAUUGUAUCAGGAUUGAUUGUGAAAGAGUCUUGAAACUGUCUUCAGUGCCAAGAAAAAGCUGUGACAUUGUAGCAGGUAAGAAACUAUCUUUUC